UUCACAGCCCUGGACACAGAAAUCCUGUUCCUAUUUAUAGACCAGGUACAGCACAGGCAAUGACACUGCAAGAUUCCCCAAAGUGCCCUACCAAAAUAUCUCAAUCCUGAGCUAAAGGGACUAAUUCUAGGUUGAAAAGGUAAGUUAGUUUCCAUGCUCACUUCACUCUUUGGCUUUG
rnacentral:sRNA from 1 species